CGCAGCCGCGGUAAUUCCAGCUCCAAUAGCGUAUAUUAAAGUUGUUGCAGUUAAAAAGCUCGUAGUUGAAUUUCGAGAUCAAAUUGUUGGUCGUGCCUCGGUACGUACUGGCAAUUUUGGUUUCUCCCUUCUGAAGAACCAUGAUGUCAUUAAUUUGGUGUCUUGGGGAAUCAGGACUGUUACUUUGAAAAAAUUGAGUGUUUAAAGCAGGCUCGCGCUUGAAUACAUUAGCAUGGAAUAAUGAAAUAGGACGUUUGAUUCUAUUUUGUUGGUUUCUAGGAUCGACGUAAUGAUUAAUAGGGAUAGGUUGGGGCUAUUAGUAU
rnacentral:rRNA from 1 species